UGGUAAGGCCUUYCGGGGUACACGAGCGGCGAACGGGUGAGUAACACGUGGGUGAUCUGCCCUGCACUUCGGGAUAAGCCUGGGAAACUGGGUCUAAUACCGGAUAUGACCUCCURUCGCAUGGUGGGKGGUGGAAAGAUUUAUCGGUGCAGGAUGGGCCCGCGGCCUAUCAGCUUGUUGGUGGGGUAAUGGCCUACCAAGGCGACGACGGGUAGCCGACCUGAGAGGGUGACCGGCCACACUGGGACUGAGACACGGCCCAGACUCCUACGGGAGGCAGCAGUGGGGAAUAUUGCACAAUGGGCGAAAGCCUGAUGCAGCGACGCCGCGUGAGGGAUGACGGCCUUCGGGUUGUAAACCUCUUUCAGCAGGGACGAAGCGCAAGUGACGGUACCUGCAGAAGAAGCACCGGCUAACUACGU
rnacentral:rRNA from 1 species